GAUGAAUGCUGGCGGCGUGCCUAACACAUGCAAGUCGAGCGGCAGCGCGGUCUUCGGACUGGCGGCGAGCGGCGGACGGCUGAGUAACGCGUGGGAACAUACCCCAAAGUGAGGGAUAACCGCCCGAAAGGGUGGCUAAUACCGCAUAUGAUCUUCGGAUUAAAGGAUUUAUCCGCUUUGGGAAUGGCCUGCGUACGAUUAGAUAAUUGGUGAGGUAAUGGCUCACCAAGUCGACGAUCGUUAACUGGUCUGAGAGGAUGAUCAGUCAGACUGGAACUGAGACACGGUCCAGACUCCUACGGGAGGCAGCAGUGAGGAAUCUUCCACAAUGGGCGAAAGCCUGAUGGAGCAACGCCGCGUGCAGGAUGAAGGCCUUCGGGUCGUAAACUGCUUUUAUUAGUGAAGAAUAUGACGGUAACUCAUGAAUAAGCACCGGCUAACUACGUGCCAGCCGCCGCGGUAA
rnacentral:rRNA from 1 species